rnacentral:rRNA from 1 species
GGGUAGCUAGCGGCAGGCAUCCACAUGCAAGUCGAGGGGCAGCACGAUGUAGCAAUACAUGGGUGGCGACCGGCGCACGGGUGCGUAACACGUAUGGAACCUGCCCUGUACUGGGAGAUAGCCCUCCGAAAGGAGGAUUAAUAUCCCAUAACAGAUCGAGUGGCAUCACUUGGUCUUAAAAGCUCCGGCGGUACAGGAUGGCCAUGCGCACGAUUAGCUAGUAGGUGGGGUAACGGCUCACCUAGGCUACGAUCGUUAGGGGGCCUGAGAGGGUUAUCCCCCACACUGGUACUGAGACACGGACCAGACUCCUACGGGAGGCAGCAGUGAGGAAUAUUGCGCAAUGGAGGCAACUCUGACGCAGCCAUGCCGCGUGCAGGAAGAAGGCGCUACGCGUUGUAAACUGCUUUUAACCGGGAAGAAACCCCAGGACGUGUCCUGGGUUGACGGUACCGGCGGAAUAAGCACCGGCUAACUUCGUGCCAGCAGCCGCGGUAAUACGAAGGGUGCAAGCGUUAUCCGGAUUCAUUGGGUUUAAAGGGUGCGUAGGCGGGGCGUUAAGUCAGUGGUGAAAUCCUGCAGCUUAACUGUAGAAUUGCCAUUGAUACUGGCGCUCUUGAGUGCGCUUGAAGUAGGCGGAAUGUGCCGUGUAGCGGUGAAAUGCUUAGAUAUGGCACAGAACACCAAUUGCGAAGGCAGCUUACUAAGGCGAUACUGACGCUGAGGCACGAAAGCGUGGGGAGCGAACAGGAUUAGAUACCCUGGUAGUCCACGCCGUAAACGAUGAUCACUCGUCAUUGGCGAUAUACGGUCAGUGACCUAGCGAAAGCGUUAAGUGAUCCACCUGGGGAGUACGGCCGCAAGGCUGAAACUCAAAUGAAUUGACGGAAAGGGCG